CACAAUUUAUUUUGCCAAAGGUUCUAAACAAGAAAUCAGACUUCUUAUCAAAGGUACUCAGGUUAAUCAAGUAAAAUCUCUUCUAUUUCUUGGGAGAAUUUUAUAUGACAGCUGAACCCUUAGUGGGCAUUAUGAAAAGGCGUUCAAAGAUUGUCAGUCUGGAUGCAACAUCAUCAAACUCAUGACAAACAAUAAGGCAGGCUUGCCUCCCAAAAAUGCUUUGACCGUUGUCAUGAGACUCGAUACUUUUAUUGCCGGGUCCCGUCGGUUGUCUACCGUCCGUUUGUCCACCGUAAGUUAGUCGGUAGUCGUCUGGCGUCUGCCCUACAUAUGCACACCCCCCCUUUCGUCUUUCAGCUACAGCGGCGGCAGCUGUAACGCUUAGCCACUCAUCGGGGACACAAAAAAGAAAAGGGAAUUAAACAAACUAAAAUAACUUACAAUACUUGAUGCGAUCGGUGUCGAGGCGAGGUCGGUUGCGGUAGUUGCUACACCGGCGGUUCCUGUUCACAGCAAGGAAGUAGGAAGUUCGUUUUAAGUAGUCAGCACAAUCACAACACAGCUGGGAUGUAGGUGCAUGGGGGUGCACGUAAUUCGUAAGCUACUGAAACUGGAAAAUUAUUCUUCUUCCCCUUAACGCAUCUUGACUGAAGUAAACACAUUGAUCCUUUUUUUUGUUUAGUUUCCUUUUUAUUUUUUUUCUUCCUAUCCUUUUUUUUCUUUUAACAGGUAGUGUCGUCAACAAAAACUUCGAGUUUUCCACACUAACGUUUAAGAAAGAAUUUAUUUCGAGGUUGGCUGACAUAUGGGUUCGAAAGCUUACUACCACCCUCGAAUCCAUAGUUGGACGCCUUUUCGGAAAGAAAAUCUUUUUACCAUUUUUUUAUAAGAGCAACUAGCAGACAGUGCCUAUUUUAAUUAAAGUAUAUAUCAGCCAAAGUCUUUAUACACCGAAUUAAGAUAUAUUAUACUAAACAACAAACAGCUUCGCAUACUCAUGGGCUCCACACCAACAUAUGCGCUUUGUUGUGAAUAACGCCGUCAACUCCCGAAUUGUGGCUGUAUAGCUUGCGCAAUUAUGCUGAUAAAUAUGUUAAACAAUAAAUUAUAUUUAACAAUUUUUUUUUUU